rnacentral:rRNA from 1 species
CAGAUUGAACGCUGGCGGCAUGCCUUACACAUGCAAGUCGAACGGCAGCACGGGAGCAAUCCUGGUGGCGAGUGGCGAACGGGUGAGUAAUAUAUCGGAACGUGCCCAGUCGUGGGGGAUAACGUAGCGAAAGCUACGCUAAUACCGCAUACGAUCUAUGGAUGAAAGCGGGGGAUCGCAAGACCUCGCGUGAUUGGAGCGGCCGAUAUCAGAUUAGGUUGUUGGUGGGGUAAAAGCCCACCAAGCCGACGAUCUGUAGCUGGUCUGAGAGGACGACCAGCCACACUGGGACUGAGACACGGCCCAGACUCCUACGGGAGGCAGCAGUGGGGAAUUUUGGACAAUGGGCGAAAGCCUGAUCCAGCCAUACCGCGUGCGGGAAGAAGGCCUUCGGGUUGUAAACCGCUUUUGUCAGGGAAGAAAUCUUCUGGGCUAAUACCUCGGGAGGAUGACGGUACCUGAAGAAUAAGCACCGGCUAACUACGUG